UAGGGAAUCUUCCGCAAUGGGCGAAAGCCUGACGGAGCAACGCCGCGUGAGUGAUGAAGGUCUUCGGAUCGUAAAACUCUGUUAUUAGGGAAGAACAAAUGUGUAAGUAACUAUGCACGUCUUGACGGUACCUAAUCAGAAAGCCACGGCUAACUACGUGCCAGCAGCCGCGGUAAUACGUAGGUGGCAAGCGUUAUCCGGAAUUAUUGGGCGUAAAGCGCGCGUAGGCGGUUUUUUAAGUCUGAUGUGAAAGCCCACGGCUCAACCGUGGAGGGUCAUUGGAAACUGGAAAACUUGAGUGCAGAAGAGGAAAGUGGAAUUCCAUGUGUAGCGGUGAAAUGCGCAGAGAUAUGGAGGAACACCAGUGGCGAAGGCGACUUUCUGGUCUGUAAUUGACGCUGAUGUGCGAAAGCGUGGGGAUCAAACAGG
rnacentral:rRNA from 1 species